rnacentral:lncRNA from 1 species
AAUGAGCCUGUCUUUUAUAAUAAAAGUAUAAUUAAAAAGGACAAACAGUUCUUCAAUCUUCUUGAGAUAAUCGAUAAUCAGCUGUUUUUUGAGUGCCCUGUGUCACUAGGCCCUGUACCACCUCACAACUACCUAGGCUGUGGGGAUAAGAACGCCUCCUUGAGGAAGCGCCCUGCAAGGCCAGGCACCACGAGCAGGGCCUGGAUUUCUCCUUAGAAUCUGGCAGAGGCUGAAGAGUCUCUAUUUUUCGUCUCUUAUUGUUGGAAAGUGGACCCUCGCUUUUUAAAAAUGCCGGCAUUUAGAAUUCCGUGUUCUUGUCCCUGUGCCGCUCUUCAACCACACAGUCUACUGUUUGUUAUAUUUCGUUUUCAUUAGUGGUAUUCUGAAAUAUUUUUGUGCUUUGAUGAAUUUUGAUUUUUAUGAUUAAAGAAAGUAAAAAAGAUCAGGAUCAAUCUGGUCUAUAACAUUUUUGGGAAAUGGGAACGAA